ACUCAAAUGAAUAGACGGGGACCCGCACAAGCGGUGGAGUAUGUGGUUUAAUUCGACGCAACGCGAAGAACCUUACCUGGUCUUGACAUCUACGGAAUCCUGCAGAAAUGCGGGAGUGCCGCAAGGAACCGUAAGACAGGUGCUGCAUGGCUGUCGUCAGCUCGUGUCGUGAGAUGUUGGGUUAAGUCCCGCAACGAGCGCAACCCUUGCCCUUAGUUGCCAGCAUUUAGUUGGGCACUCUAAGGGGACUGCCAGUGACAAACUGGAGGAAGGCGGGGAUGACGUCAAGUCAUCAUGGCCCUUAUGACCAGGGCUACACACGUACUACAAUGGUCGGUACAGAGGGUUGCCAAGCCGCGAGGCGGAGCCAAUCCCAGAAAGCCGAUCGUAGUCCGGAUCGGAGUCUGCAACUCGACUCCGUGAAGUCGGAAUCGCUAGUAAUCGCCGAUCAGCAUUUGCGGCGGUGAAUACGUUCCCGGGUCUUGCACACACCGCCCGU
rnacentral:rRNA from 1 species